rnacentral:rRNA from 1 species
AGGCUUAACACAUGCAAGUCGAGGGGUAACAGGUCUUUCGGGACGCUGACGACCGGCGCACGGGUGAGUAACGCGUAUGCAAUCUGCCUUCAGCUGGAGGAUAGCCCGGAGAAAUCCGGAUUAAUACUCCAAAUGCUAUCGGACGGCAUCGUCUGAUAUCUAAAGCUCCGGCGGCUGAUGAUGAGCAUGCGUGACAUUAGUUAGUUGGUGAGGUAACGGCUCACCAAGACUACGAUGUCUAUGGGGUCUUAAAGGAUGAUCCCACACACUGGUACUGAGACACGGACCAGACUCCUACGGGAGGCAGCAGUGAGGAAUAUUGGUCAAUGGGCGAAAGCCUGAACCAGCCAUGCCGCGUGAAGGAUGACGGCCCUACGGGUUGUAAACUUCUUUUGUACGGAAAGAACAAAGGCUACGUGUAGCCUCUUGACGGUACCGUACGAAUAAGCAUCGGCUAACUCCGUGCCAGCAGCCGCGGUAAUACGGAGGAUGCAAGCGUUAUCCGGAUUUAUUAGGUUUAAAGGGUGCGUAGGCGGAGUUUUAAGUCAGUGGUGAAAUCUUGUGGCUCAACCAUGAAACUGCCAUUGAUACUAUUGCUCUUGAAUGUAGUUGAGGUAGGCGGAAUGUGUAGUGUAGCGGUGAAAUGCUUAGAUAUUACACAGAACACCAAUUGCGAAGGCAGCUUACUAGACUAUGAUUGACGCUGAGGCACGAAAGCGUGGGGAGCGAACAGGAUUAGAUACCCUGGUAGUCCACGCUGUAAACGAUGAUCACUGGUUGUUGGCGAUACACUGUCAGCGACUGAGCGAAAGCAUUAAGUGAUCCACCUGGGGAGUACGUCGGCAACGAUGAAACUCAAAGGAAUUGACGGGGGCCCGCACAAGCGGAGGAACAUGUGGUUUAAUUCGAUGAUACGCGAGGAACCUUACCUGGGCUUAAAUGUAGCAUGACUGCUGUCGAAAGAUAGUUUCCCUUCGGGGCAAGUUACAAGGUGCUGCAUGGCUGUCGUCAGCUCGUGCCGUGAGGUGUCGGGUUAAGUCCCAUAACGAGCGCAACCCUUAUCGUUAGUUACCAGCGCGUAAAGGCGGGGACUCUAACGAGACUGCCACCGUAAGGUGUGAGGAAGGUGGGGAUGACGUCAAGUCAGCACGGCCCUUACGUCCAGGGCUACACACGUGUUACAAUGGCCAGUACAAAGGGCAGCUACCAGGCGACUGGAUGCUAAUCUCCAAAACUGGUCUUAGUUCGGAUUGAAGUCUGCAACUCGACUUCAUGAAGUUGGAUUCGCUAGUAAUCGCGCAUCAGCCACGGCGCGGUGAAUACGUUCCCGGGCCUUGUACACACCGCCCGUCAAGCCAUGGAAGCUGGGGGUACCUGAAGUCCGUAACCGCAAGGAUCGGCC